rnacentral:tRNA from 1 species
GCGCCGGUAGCUCAGCUUGGAGAGGCUAGCGAGCACUCGCUUUGCUUCGUGCAAAUAGAGCGAAAGGUUCCUAACCUUUAGGCCGGGAGUUCGAAUCUUCCCCGGCGCG